rnacentral:lncRNA from 1 species
ACCACAUUGAAAGCAAUGUCACAAGUGAGGUAAUAUUCACAUAACCCAUGUAAUACAUAAGGGAAAAAAUACUUAGUUGGCUUACAAUCGCCACUUCACACAAUUACAUGAAUAAAGCAUUACAACAUCCAAAUACAAUCAAGGUCCGACUACGAAACCAAAAUAAAAGAAGAACCCCAAAUGCGACAAGGCCCCCGAUCGACCCCAAUUGGGCUCCACUACUGAUCAACUAGAACGAAACAACACAACGGACAAGAUCUACAUCAAGCUCCUCCUGAGCUUGGUUGCGUAUCUGCACGGACUCAUCGGCACCUGCAAGCUGGUUUGGAAGUAUCUGUGAGUCACGGGGACUCAGCAAUCUCACACCCUCGCGAUCAAGACUAUUUAAGCUUAUAGGUAGGGUAAAAGGUAUGAGGUGGAGCUACAGCAAGCGACUAGCAUAUAUGGUGGCUAACAUACGCAAAUGAGAGUGAGAAGAGAAGGCAAGGCACGUUCGAGAAUCUAUGAUCAAGAAGUGAUCCUAGAAUAACCUACGUCAAGCAUAACUCCAACACCGUGUUCACUUCCCGGACUCCGCAGGAAAGAGACCAUCACGGUUACACACGCGGUUGAUGCAUUUUAAUUAAGGUCAACUUCAGGUUUUCUACAACUGGACGUUAACAAAUUCCCAUCUGCCCAUAACCGCGGGCACGACUUUCGAAAGUUCAAAUCCCUGCAUGGGUGUCCCAACUUAGCCCAUCACAAGCUCUCACGGUCAACGAAGGAUAUUCCUUCUAGCGGGAAGACCCGAUCAGACUCGGAAUCCCGGUUACAAGACAUUUCGACAAUGGUAAAACAAGACAUCCUCGACAAUGGUAAAACAAGUCCAGCAACACCGCCUGAAUGUGCCGACAAAUCCCGAUAGGAGCUGCACAUAUGUCGUUCUCAGGGCACACUCAGAUGAGCAGUCCGUACAACUAAAACCAGCCCUCGAGUUUCCCCGAGGUGGCGCUGCAAGGGGCUCUAGUUUGGACCAACACUCAGAGGAGCACUGGCCCGGGGGGGGGGGGGUUAAAAUAAUGAUGACCCUUGAGUCUGCAGAACCCAAGGGAAAGAAAAGCCUAGGUGGCAAAUGGUAAAACCAAUGUUGGGCAUUGUUGGAGGAGUUUUAUUCAAGGCGAACUGUCAAGGGGUUCCCAUUAUAACCCAACCGCGUAAGGAACGCAAAAUCCGGGAACAUAACACCGAUAUGACGGAAACUAGGGCAGCAAGAGUGGAACAAAACACCAGGAAUAAGGCCGAUCCUUCCACCCUUUACCAAGUAUAUAGAUGCAUUAAUUAAAUAAGAUAUAUUGUGAUAUCCCAACAAAAAUAUCCAUGUUCCAACAAGGAACAAACUCCAAUCUUCACCUGCAACUAACAACGCUAUAAGAGGGGCUGAGCAAAGCGGUAACAUAGCCAAACAACGGUUUGCUAGGACAAGGCGGGUUAGAGGCUUGGCUUAACAAUAUGGGAGGCAUGAUAAGCAAGUGGUAGGUAUCGUAGCAUAGGCAUAGAAAAAUAGCGAGCAAUUAGCAAGCAAAGAUAGAAGUGAUUUCGAGGGUAUGGUCAUCUUGCCUGAAAUCCCGCAAGGAAGAAGAACGAGUCCAUGAAGAAGACAAACAGACGUAGUCGAAUGGGUCCUCACAAACGCGACGUUACCGGAACCAACCCGAAGAAGCAAACACCAGAAAGAAGCAGACAACGUAGUAAAGAAACCACACAUGAACAUGGUAUGAUAUGCGGGAUGCGGUAUGCGAUGCAUAUGCAUGGUUUGCAAAGGAAUGAUUGAACCUGGCCUCAACUUGGAAAUCCAAGAGUGCCACUGGAAAGGUGAGGUGAUUUCGGUUGAAAUUGAUAUAAAGAACACCGGAAUCGGAGACACGGUUUGGAAAUGGCAAGCAAUUCAAAUAUGGCACCGGUCUGCGAUAAACAGCAAGUAGCCAUCUAAAUGCAACAAGUUAAACAUGCUAAAACACUCAAACAUGGCAACAAAAUACAUGGCAUGGAUCCAUUCAUGAAGGUUAACAAAAGAUGAACACUGAGCUACGGCCAAUUCAUCCAUUAACAGGUUCAAACAAGCAUGGCAAAAGAGCAAUUGGUAAACAGAUUUCAGACUUAGUGAAAUAAACACUUGUCUGGAAUUUCAGAUCAGGUAGCACACUUUGAAGCAUGAAAACUAUAUGCUACAAGAACUUAACAUGGCAAAGUAAGGCAUGGAAUGGAGCUACUCAAAGAGCUUAACAAAAGUCCCUUAGUGACCUUGAGCCAAAAGGGAUCAGAAAAUACAAUUGUAAGCAUGUGAACAUGGCAAAAACAUAAUCAGAUCACAGACUUAGUGAAAACUGGAGCAUGCAAAUCGGAUAUCAAGUAGGCAUGUUUACGAGCUCGAUGCACUCACUACAGAGCAAGGCAUGACAAUCUAAGCAUACACACAUCAAGAAUACACAUUAUUCAAGCUAUACAUGGCAAGAACAACAACAUAGCAUGCAUGGAUCAACAACAACAUCCGCGGCAAAAUUGCUAACAAGUAGACAAUCUGCCAGGAUUCACGAAAUAGCAAAAGUAGAGCUCGAUUGACUCAAGCUAGGGUGCUCCAUAAUUGCAAACAAAGACAUGGACGGAUAGAGCACUACAAUAUUAACAAAUCAUCCUUACUGAUCAUCCUCAAAAGAGGCACGGAUCACUAGGAAACAACAUGAACAUAUGGUAUAUUGAUAAAAACAGAUCAAGGACUUAGAGAAAUUCUAAGUCCCUAAAAUCAGCAUUAAGGAAUGCACUACUUUGCAAGCUUGUGCUAGUCACCACACACAUCACAAAAAUACAUGGAUAGCACCUCUGGAAAGAUGGCAUGGCAUAUAGCAAAACACAUGUAGAGCUCACGGGAAUAUCAUGCACACAUAAAUCAUGACAAAAAUGACAAAUAGCUAUUUGGUGCAGCAGAUCUGACAAUUAACUCAAGUAGCUCUCUUCCAACCACAUUUCGGGCAUCAAGAUGAGCUCAAAUUAAAAUGAUGCAAAGGUAUGAAAUGGUGUACUCUCUAAGAUGAACAUUUUGAUAUGCUACACGCCCAAAACGGAGCUACGGAUGCAAAGUUACGACAUGAUGAACAUGGGCAUAUGAAUCUGAGAAUUUCGGGGACUUAGCCGAAAUUAUACCUCCGAGAACAGAUCUAGGGUUUCCAGAUCGGAUCGGGCCAGAUUUGCACGUGGAUCGAUGCCGACCGGAGCUUCGCCGGAACAGGGCGCCGGAGUCGAGGAAGAGGGAGGAGAGGUCGCCAGCCUUGCCUCCGGUGGCCGGAGACGGAGGAGGGCGGCGCGCGCGACGAGGGGGCGACGAGGGACGCGGUGGCCGGUCGGGGUGACACCGGAGUAGCAGCUCGCCGACGAGAGGCGCGGUGAGGGCGGCAGCCGGUUGGGCGCGGGCAGCGCUCGGCNNNNNNNNNNNNNNNNNNNNNNNNNNNNNNNNNNNNNNNNNNNNNNNNNNNNNNNNNNNNNNNNNNNNNNNNNNNNNNNNNNNNNNNNNNNNNNNNNNNNNNNNNNNNNNNNNNNNNNNNNNNNNNNNNNNNNNNNNNNNNNNNNNNNNNNNNNNNNNNNNNNNNNNNNNNNNNNNNNNNNNNNNNNNNNNNNNNNNNNNNNNNNNNNNNNNNNNNNNNNNNNNNNNNNNNNNNNNNNNNNNNNNNNNNNNNNNNNNNNNNNNNNNNNNNNNNNNNNNNNNNNNNNNNNNNNNNNNNNNNNNNNNNNNNNNNNNNNNNNNNNNNNNNNNNNNNNNNNNNNNNNNNNNNNNNNNNNNNNNNNNNNNNNNNNNNNNNNNNNNNNNNNNNNNNNNNNNNNNNNNNNNNNNNNNNNNNNNNNNNNCGGGAUCUGUCAGCGGCGGAGAUGGGCCCCGCGGGCCCGAUCCGGGCCGCGCGGGCCGGCGGCGGGGCUGGAGGAGAGGGAAGGCGGCGGAGAUGACGUGUCAAGCUGGAAUUUGCCGGCGGCGACAGUUGGACAUGUCCGGGCGCGGGAAUUUUGUCCGGCGGCGCGAGAGGAACGGGGCUAGGGUUUGGACUGCGCGAAAAAUCGGGGAGAGCCACAUAUUUAUAGGUGGAGAGAGCUAGGAGAGUCCAAAUGAGGUGCGGUUUUCGGCCACGCGAUCGUGAUCGAACGACCGAGAUGAUGGAGGGGGUUUAGGUGGGGUUUGGGACACUUAGAAGGGGUGUUGGGCUGCAACACACACGAGGCCUUUUCGGUCCCUCGGUUAACCGUUGGAGCAUCAAACGAAGUCCAAAUGGUACGAAACUUGACAGGCGGUCUACCGGUAGUAAACCAAGGCCGCUUGGUAAGUAUCGGUCCAAUUCGGAAAUGUUUAAUCCCCACACACGAAAAGAAGGUAGAAAAGGCCACCGGAUGACAUAGGAGCGCUGGAUUGCAAAAUGGACAACGGGGAAAAUGCUUGGAUGCAUGAGACGAACAUGUAUGCAAAUGCAAUGCACAUGAUGACAUGAUAUGCAAUGCAUGACAUGCAAGCAAUGACAAGACAACAACAGCGAAUAACUGGAGGACACCUGGCACAUCUGUCUUGGGGCGUUACAGUGGACGACGGCAAUUUUGAGCCAAAGGCACCCGAGGAAGCGCGUCGAUGCUACGGCAAUCAAAUAGGCUGCAUUGUACGGACAACCGCCACCAUCAACGAUGAGAAACUACAGAAGAUAGAAAAUAUGAGGAGCUCCCUCCUAAAGAAGUUUCACCAGAUAUUCUUGUUCCCGGGUCAGAAUGAGAAGGAUUAUGAAGAUCCAGAUGAGGGCCCGACAAUGAAGAAGAUAAACAAACACGCCAUGACCAAGUUUAGCGAUGCGUUGGCCGCCUGGAAAAAUCAAGUGAAAGCAAAGAUCAUCGAUAAGAAGGAACCCUACUCCGAGAUUGUAAAGGAUAAUCCAACAAUCACGGAAGAGCAGUUUCAAAUAUUCAAGGAGGCUUGCGAGGCCGAAGCUGCCAAAAAAAAGUCUAAGUACAUGAAGGGGCUUCAAGAGAGGAACAUUGGGAGUCACCACCUCGAAAGCCGUGGUUACGGCAGAAAGGGGUCCAAAUGGGCCAAGGAGGACGCGAAAGCCGCGAGUCUGGGCAUCCUUGACCCCUUGGCGGAUUUCACCGUCCCGCAGGAGCGUGACAUCCUCAGGGCCCGGCACCAUUGGGACCCAGUGAAUAAGGUUUACGAGACAAAACAGGUCAUUACGGAGUUCAUGAGACUGCUGGUAAUUUUAGUUUUUGAUCAAUUCGAUUGCACACGUUAGUCAUAUUUGUAAACGAUCCUUGUGCCCUUUGCAGAGAGAGCAGCACCGGAUUGCGGCCGAAAGCGACUCACCGUCUAAGGCAUUGGCGAGGCCCAAGUGGGACACUCCAUUCAACCGGGCGUUGAACAUAUUGAAACGACAACCGGUGGAUAGUCGACCGUCGUAUGGACGCGUGCACGGUGUCGGAGACGGUGCCACGUGGAAGAAGUACUACCGUGAGACCACGGAGGAGAGAAAGGAAAGACAGAGGUUAACUGAAGAAAACAUCGACAAGAAGGUUGAGAUUGCGGUUGAGAAGAAAUCAUCUCAGACAGUCGCAACAGCGGUAGCUGCCGCAAAACAUGUGGUUGCAUAUUUGUCUACUUCCUUAGUGCGGGCGUUUUCACUUGGACAAGGCAAAUCCAGAAAAAAUGCAGAGGACUUUCCCCUUGCUGACUUCUUGGGGAGCAGCUCGACUACCGUUGCACCAGCACCUGCUCCCGCACCGGCUCCCGCACCUUCUCCCGCACCGGCUCCCGCAUCGGACGUGCUCGAUGGUGCUUCGUCUUUGGCUGAGCUCGACGCCCUCACGGUAUCUGUCACACCGCCCCCUUCAAUAUAAAUGUAUAAUCUCCCGUUUUCGUUGCCUUUCGGAUGUCUCACGUUGCAGACUUUUCUUUGCAGGCCGACGAAACCCCGUGCACCACAUUGUACACCAUCGGUGACCAGAAGGUGGACGUGGGGAAGGCGAUGAUAAUGGAGCCGAAGGAACCAUUGUUCCAUAGCCGGCCGAUCCCCCCGAACGUCUUCAAGGUUUCCGUGGCCAGUGUCAAACCGGGCCAUGAGAAUUUGCCUCCUCCAAUACUAGUGGGGGAUGAUGACGAGACACCACAGUGGCUUGGUGAUUGUUGCAAUGGGUGGGUCCUGUUGUGGCCAAAGAGUUUGCUUCGUCUGGAGGCGGCCGGGAGCACACCCACGAGCACGCAGCCUCAGCAAGGUAUGAACAUCAACACCCCACCUACCCAAUUAGCGUCGGGUGUCGGGUUGGGUGAUAGCGGACGGGGUAAGGAGGAGGCUCCAUUAGUCGCUGAUGACGUCGCCAUGGAUGAGGAUGAGGACGACGAUGGCGCUGAACAGUAUGUCUAUACUAGUGCCUCCUCAGGGUUUGAGCGUCAUGAGUCGGUGCCUGAAUUGCCGUCUCAACGUAUUAUGGACGACCUUUCGGUAGUAAAGAAGUCUAGGAAGAGAGCGAGGAAAGGCAAAAAAAGCUGAUUCUAUGAUCCAGCCGCCUCAGCAGCCUCGGCUUCAGGACCGUAUAGAUAUCCCCGAUGUGGAUAAAUGGUAUAUCCACGGUCAACCAAUCCUACCUGCAACAGCGCUACGGGUCAGAUUCGGCGAUCUAAGGAGAAUUCAUGACGAUGUGCUGCGGGUAGAGAAAGGCCUCAUUGCCUCGAAAGAUCCAGGAUACCCACUCUACGUGGUUAACGUUCCGCAGCAAAUGUCGUACGUCGACAGCUUCCCCGCGGAUAAGUUCUUCCUCCGAUUCGAUUACAUAUUCGACAUGUUUCACGUGAAGAAGCUGGAUUUUACGUUUGUCCGCCUUUAUGCCUUGAACAUGAACUACAUCAUCGGGGUUGAGCAGAUAUCUCAUAUUUGUGUCGCUGACCCGCACUACAUGCACGAGGGCUUCUUGGGAGUCUGCGCAAAGCACCGUGAAUACGCGAGGGAUUACAUCAUCAGUUUCAUGCUCGCCAAUAAGCACAAGGAGGCGAUUCUUGUGCCUUAUCACCCCGUGUAAGUCAUCCGCGCCGCUAUCCUUCCUUCGAUUUCAAUCAUUCAUUUGCAUGGUGGAGGCUAACUAAUUUGAGGUGUACUUAUUUUGCACAGCGGCGGGCGCGCCGUCCUCAUCAUCCUCUACCCCCGAUUCUCCCACGCUCUUUACUUGGACUCGUCGAAGAACAUUCACAAAAAGGAUUACACCCACAUCAAGGAUGUUCUCGACAGUGCUAUGUUUUACUACCAAGCAAGGGGUGGAGAGGUCAGGGACAAGAAGAGAAGGGGCGGCAGGGUCGCCUUCGGCCAUAAGACCGACUUCUGCUGCAUCCAGCAACCGAACGAUUCUCUUAAUGAUGGAUUCUAUGUCCUACACCACAUGCUGGAGUACAGACGGGAUCACCAGAACCUUCGCAUGUCACCUAGAUCCGGCGAUGCCCAUAUUCUGCAAUGGGUAAAGGACAUAGGAGAUAUCGAGGAUCAUCGACUUCGAGCUGAGUUCUAUAACAUCCAGCGCGAGCUUGCCCAAAUCAUCAUGAAGGAGGUCGUCGGAAAAACAGGGAUGUUCUAUGGAGAAGGACAAAUGUCGCGGGAAGACGUCCGAACAUGGAUAGCCUCUCAGUGUCUCGACAUGAAGCCUUUCACUAAGCUCGAGGACUAUCUCCCUGACUUGGAUGGAUGGAACGACAUGUUGGAGUGAUUGUCGAUAUAUGACAAUGUGUCCGUUUAGUCCAUACUUUCUGUAUGACAAAACUUUGAGUUAUGCACGGUGAAACUUUAUUUGUGAUGUAAUUAAACCAUCCUCCUCCUCGACUAGCGAAAAUCACUCUAGUUAGGGCAUUUUGGGGUACGAUGAACUUUGUUAUUUAUGCUUAUGAUAUGUUGUUUCUAUUUUUGCCAAGUAUGUCUCUUUCUGUUGCUCAACUAUAUAUGUUGCAUAUCAUCGACUCAUGUGAUGAUGCAGGUGCAUAGAUCAUAGAUGGCGAAGAAGUGCUACACCAGGAGUAUAUAUACAACAAGUGGCCGGAGUAUCAGGCCCAGGUGUACCAGUUUCCGGUUUCCGAGCGACAGGCAGUAGUUAGUUUAGGUUCACGCUAAUGCGAGAGAGGGAUACGAACGCAUGUACUCAAAGUGAUAGCUCUUCUCGCGUAUAUCAUUGUUUAGAUGGAUGACGAUGUAUUUGCAAGUAAUCGAGACUUGUAUCGCUAUUUUCGAGAUGAUGACGAGAGACCACUUUGUGUUGGAUGAUGAUUAUGAUGAUGACAUGAUUUGAUGAGACUAAUUGUAUGUAUAUGCUAUGAUUACAUUUGUAUGUGUAUGAUAUGCUAAAGAUUAUUGUAUAAAUCCUAUUCAAAUACAAAACAAAUACAAAAGAAAUAUACAGGGAAAAAACUAAUAAAACUAGUAGUAGCGAGGGGGGGGGGGAAUUUAGCAGUAGCGCCGCCUUACCAGUAGCGCUUCCCAGUAAACAACGCUGCAGAUAAUAUCAGCAGCGCCCUUUUCUAAAAAGCGCUACAGCUAUUCAUUUAUAGCAGUAGUGUGGGACAACAGGUGCUACUGCUAUACGUUAGCUGUAGCGCUGGUCCCCGCGCUACUUAGAGGCCCAAAACCCGCGCUGCUGCUAGGCUUUUCCCUAGUAGUGAUAUAACGGUGCGCUCAUAUGUUGUGAAUGGGUUGUGGAAGCAAUUAGAAGCUUCCAUGUCAUUACAACAUAAUAUCAUCAUCUAGAAACCUUGCCCAUUGUAGAACGGUGUUGGUGGGUGGAAUUCACUGUAUAUAAAGGUUCUCGUACACACAACAGAGGGUUCCCUCAUGCGGGUAUGCAUGGUUCUGUGAAUGAAAAACGGAGGUUCCCAUGUAAUCCAAACGAAGCAUGUCUGGCACACAAGGUGCAGCCCCAGGUCAUGUAACUGUGUGGGCUUACUUCUGCAGGUUUGGUAGCUUUGUGCGCCUGGUUAAUAGAGAAUAGUGAAGGCAUCCUUGCUGAGUGUUUACAGAAGCCAUACAAGGUACCCUCAUAUGUUGUAAAUGGCUUUGGAAACUAGAAGUUGUCGUGUCACUACAACACAAUAUCAUCGUCCGGAGAACCUUAUACGGUGAAGGAUGUUGGUGGGUUUAAUGUCCACCCUAUAGAAAAGGUUCUCAUAGAAAAAAAUAGGGUACCAUCAUGCGGGUAUGUAUCGUUCCGACAAUGUAACAUGGAGGUUCGCAUGUAAUCUAGUGAUGCGGUGAUACUAUAUACAACUCUCCCACCCGCCAAUAGUCAUCUCUCUCUCUCUCUCUAAGUCUCCGUCUCUAUCUCUCUAUAUAUAUCACUCUCUUUCGGAUCAUUUAUCAUCUAGACCAACAAGCACGUAACAAAAAGGAGGUCUGCAUAAGAGUGUGCCCUUUGUGGUGGCAGGUAGAACGUGACAUGUCAUUACAACACAAUAUCAUCAUCCAGAAACCUUGCAGUGUCGGUUUGUGUUGGUCUAGAAGGGUGUCCGUGGGUGCAACGUCCGCUAUAUAGAAAAGUUCUCGUUCACACCCAAGAGGGUCUGACAUUGUGGAAUGGAGGUUCUCGUGUAAUAUAAAUGAUGGGGUGAUACUAUACCGCUCUCUGACUCACUAACAAUCCUCUCUCUCUAUACCCCUCUCUCUAAUCCUUUAUCGUCGAGACCAAUGCGUGUGAAACAUAUAAGAGUUAGAGUCCGAGUGAAAAAUGCCACGCGGGGGCACCAUUGUAAGGUUCGGAAAAAUGUGCUUGGUGAGUCCAUAUAACGAUGUGCUCAUAUGUUGUGAAUAGGUUGUGGAAGCAAUUAGAAGUUGCCAUGUCCUUACAACAUAGUAUCAUCGUCCGGAAACCUUGCCCAUUGUAGAACGGUGUUGGUGGGUGCAGCGUCCAUUGUAUAGAAAGGUUCUCGUACACACAACAGAGGGUUCCCCCAUGCGUGUAUGCAUGGUUCUGUGAAUGUAAAAUGGAGGUUCCCAUGUAAUCCAAAGAAGCAUGUCCGGCACACAAAGGUGUUGUCUUGGGUCAUGUAACUGUGUGGGGUUGCUUUUGCAGGCUUGGUGCUUCGUGUGCGUGGACAAUGCGGAAUAGUGAAGCCAUACAACGGUGUGCUCACAUGUUGUGAAUGACUUUGGACAGAAUUAGAUGCUGCCAUGUCAUUAUAACACAAAUAUCGUCAUCCGGAGAACCUUGCACGGUGAAGGGUGUCGGUGGGUGCAAUGUCCACCUAUAGAAAAGGUUCUCGUAGAAAAAACAGGGUGCCUCGACAAUGUGACAUGGAGGUUCGCAUGUAAUCUAGUGAUGUGGUGAUACUAUAUCGCUAAAAUGCGAGUGGAAAAGCAGCGAAGCCAUACAACGGUGCGCUCUAAUGUUGUGAAUGGUUUAUGGAGGCAAUUAGAAGCUAUCAUGUCAUUACAACACAAGAUCGUCAAUGGGAAAACCUUCCACACUUUAGAAAGUUGUCAGUGGGUGCAACGUCGCGGAUGUGCAUGAUCCUAACAAUGUAAAAUGGAGGUUUCCAUGAAAUCUAAAUGAUGUGGUGAUACUAUACCGCUCUCUCAGUCACUACCAAUCCUCUUUCUCUCCCUCUAUCUAUCUACCACACACUCUCUCUCUAAUACUUUAUCAUCUACAAAAACAUGCACCCGCACUCAUAUGUUGUGAAUUGGUUAUGGAGGCAAUUAGAAGUUGCUAUGUAAUUAGAACAAAAUAACAUCCUCCAUACACUUUGCACGGGGUAGAAGGGUGUCGGUGGGUGCAAUAUCCACCAUACUGAAAGGUUCUCAUUCGCACAUAAGAGGGUCCCUCAUGCGGCUAUGCAUGGUCCUGAUAAUAUAAAUUGGAGGUUCUCGUGUAAUCUAAAUGAUGUGGUGAUUUUAGGCUGCUCUCAAACUCACUAACAUUCAUCUAUCUCUCUAUAUAAAUCUAUCGCUCCCUCUCAAAACAUUAGCAUCUAGACCAAGCUCGCAUGCAGCAUAAAAAGGGUUGGUGCCAGUGGAGAGAAAAGGAGAAGUAGAGAGAGAUACACACAUAGAAGAGAUAGAUAGAUAGAUAGAUAAAUGUAGGGCGAGUGAUAUAGUGGCGAAGGAGAUAGAUGAGAGUUCAAAUUAUAAGUAUUGUCGAAAGUGACAACAGUCUGACAAAAGUGAUAUGCUUGAUAAUGAUGAAGGCCCCCCAUUAAUCCCACCUUUUCAACAGAGAUUGUGACUCUGCUAGAUCGAAUGUAUGCAAGCAUGCGACUGCGCUUAGUUUCGUCUGCGGGGAACGAAGUGGCACAAGUGUAAUAAUGUCGAAGGGGGCGAUAUAGUUGUCCCUAGACCACCGACCAGUGUCGAUGUACAUCUAAUUGCUCUUCCCCAUUUUAUGUUUAUGGUCUUGCGGCUUUCAUUAUGAUUCUCGUAUUGUUUGACCAUAUGGCGUAUGUGUGUGUUGGCGAUGGACCCGUCAUGCGGCAUGACCUGCUGUAACCAAUAAAAAAUAUAUUUAGAUUCUCUCAUGGCUUACAUAUAUGACCCAAAUAUUUGGCGUCUGGUCGCUAGGGACAUUAGCUCCUGGUGAUGGUUCAUGCUCAUUCCCCAAAGAGGGUAGGCCAGGGUGACCCCUAAUUGACCCAAAAGGCCCAUUUUAUUAUUAUUUUUGUUUGACAUUGCAACAUAAAACUUUACAAAUAAAAAAUGUCGAGUGAUCUAGAAAUUACUUUUUAACAUGCUAAACUUUAAAUCAGCCAUCAUAUAUGUAAAAAAUACCAUGACCUUUAGCAUCCAUCCUCUGGUUAGAAAACACCAUGAACAAAAAAAAAUGCACAAAACUUAUAAAAUGUCAUGGCCGAAAUAUGAAAAUCGCCGUGCUACUUUAUAAAACUAUCAUCCUUUAGAUAAAAUGUUUUAUCUGGACAAGCCAACAAAAACUACCAAGUCAUAAAAAAAUGCCAUACUCUCAACAUUAAAAAAUGUACUACCUUUGAUCCAUUAGUUCAAAUUUGAACUAAACCACGACACUUAUUUUGAAACGGAGGUAGUAUUUCUUAUAAAAGAGCAUUUCAUAUAAGUUGUGAUGCCAUUAAAAAUAAAAAAUGUCAUAUUCUUAAAAACAUGUCAUGAGUAAAAAAUGCAUUUCUUAUGAAAACAUGAAAAUCUGUCAUGGACCAAAAUAAAAAAUAUCAUGAAGUACUUUUUUUCUCCACUUGGUCCAGUGUGCAAAAUUUCAUAUAAAAAAUGCCAUGCUCUUAAUAAUGAACCGCCGUCCUAUUACCGAUGAAAAAAAUGCUAGUUUAAUAGUACUUAUUAAAAUGCCAAUGUAUUAUAAAUGAAAACUGCCAUGUGAUCUCUUUUAAAAGUCUGGUGGUCAAGAUCAGUACUUGGCAACGAUACAUAAUGUUGCUAGUUUGUAGGUUGUUGGGCAACAAUUAUGUACUUAAAUUGUUGGUCAGGUCUAUAUAGUGGGGGCAGCCACUGUAAUGGUUUAGUGUGGGCGUGAGUUAAUGUCGUUUAACUACGCUGCGCCAGCGGGCGUGAUGUUGUUUUUGCAUCUGCUGAUCCACAGCUAUAUGUGCAUCUGCUGAUUCGAACGGUGAAACCAAAACGCACGAGGGUGCGAUACGACAUCUUCGGUGGCCAUGUAUGAUACGUCCUGAUUCUUGGUCAAGAUCACGAAUGGUCAGGUUCAGAAUCGCAUCCGUGUGUCAUUGAUACACACGCAGUCCCUACUUUCAGCACUUGUACUUCCUGUUAAGACGCAGACACAUCUGUCUGCUUGCCCUGGUUUCUUGGCUUUCUUUUAACCAUGGGCGUCGCAACUGUUCAGAGUAUCUGCUUGGGCGCCUUCCGUUUGUUUUCUGUCUUUUUCCUUGUCCAUAUUAUCCGCAUCAAUCGUCUAAUGGUCUGAGUGCCUGGUGUGUGGUCUUGCUGCGUGGUUGUCGAUCGUUUUGAUCCAAUCUCGGCUCUGCGGUGGAUGCAUGCAUCUAGUGCAAAAAGAAAAUCGAGUGGAGCAAUGUAAAGAGCAUUAACUACCAUUGCAUCUAACUGUCUCAUAAGAAAAAACGCUAAACGCAUUCAUACAGAAAAUUCAAGCAGCAACAUGAUUUAAGGGGGCUUACUCUUUAGGUUGUCGACGUCCUGCGUCUGCACAGCGCCCCGUUCUCCCCCGUACGCAAACAUCAUCGUCUAGGUCGCUACUUGCCCGGCUGGUCGUCGCCGCUGCUAGCUGUCUCUGGGGCAUGGUCGAGCAGUCAGUGCAUGGGUCGCCUUGGGCCUCCCCACCGCUCGGCGCUGCUACUUGAUGCGACCGGCGGCUCGACCUCCGCGGCAGCUCUCUCUCUGGACCUCACUGCGGCAGC